rnacentral:rRNA from 1 species
CCGGGCUUAAAUUGCAUUUGAAUAUAUUGGAAACAGUAUACCCGUAAGGCAAAUGUGAA